rnacentral:rRNA from 1 species
UGGGUAGUCCGUACGAGCGCACCUUGUCCCUAGUUGCCAGCACUUCGGGUGGGAACUCUAGGGAGACUGCCGGUGAUAAACCGGAGGAAGGUGGGGAUGACGUCAAGUCAUCAUGGCCCUUAUGGGCAGGGCUACACACGUGCUACAAUGGCCGGUACAGAGGGCGGCGAAGCCGCGAGGUGGAGCGAAUCUCAGAAAACCGGUCGUAGUCCGGAUUGCAGUCUGCAACUCGACUGCAUGAAGUCGGAAUCGCUAGUAAUCGCGGAUCAGAACGCCGCGGUGAAUACGUUCCCGGGCCUUGUACACACCGCCCGUCACACCAUGGGAGUGGGCUGUACCAGAAGUAGGUAGUCUAACCUUCGGGAGGACGCUUACCACGGUGUGGUUCAUGACUGGGGUGAAGUCGUAACAAGGUAGCCCUAGGGGAACCUGGGGCUGGAUCACCUCCUU